rnacentral:lncRNA from 12 species
AUGCUGUUGGAACACCCACUUCAAAGCAAAAGUUUAAGAAAGGAAACACCUAGUUUGUCAAUCCUUGGGGUGAAAGUUUUAGAUCGAGUUGUUAUGUCAUGUCUGCCCGCUCUGCUGUGGGUCCGUCUGGCUUCACACCUGACUCAAAGAUCAACUUUGUUAGGCGAACCCAGAACAUCUGCUCACUCUCCAUCUUUUUCCUUUCAAAGACAUCUGUUAAAGAAUAACAGAACUCUCUGGAUUCAUUUCUCAGAUUUGUGGGAAAGCCCAAGUCAGGCACUUUGUGUCCCACCACACCUCCCCAAGCCUGAUGGUGAGGAAUGUUAUUCUUCAAUCCAUAUACAUUCCUACAAAAGAACAGUCCUAGAGGGGAAGACAGGCUUUGCAUUUGCCAAAUGGCUGGGAAAAGAGGCCAAGGGAAAUACCCUAGUGUUUAGAAUCUGCUGUGUAUUCCUUCUAGGAGUGCUACCUGGAGCAAGGAGACCAGGGGAAGGACGAGUCUGGAAUUGGGUGAGGAUGAAAUCGAGAUAUGGAACAGGCAGAAGUAACAGAAGAACCGGAAUCGAUGUAAACAACCUAAGAGGAAUACCUCGGAAAGAAAAAAAAUAUGAUUUUUCCUGAUACACAUUUUUUAUUUUGAAAAAUCAUGAAGAUCUCCAUUAGGAAAUCAUUCUUCCCUGGCAUUGUGUUGCGUGCUCAACAAAUAGAAGGUAAAUAUGCUAAAAUUGGUGUCUUUUUCGUGGAAACCACAUAACUAUAAAGCUCUUUGUUUUCACCCAACUGCUGAAAACAUUUGCGUAGGCAAUUUCAGUAAACAUUUGGAGAAUUGGAAGUACUCUCUCCUACACAUAUGGUUCUUUAUGAAGAGGUAAUUUUUAUCUAUGUUCUACUCAAUUGAAUAUUUAUAAGUCUGUUUGGCCUCAAAGGUACCUGAUCUCCCCCCAAAAUACAACUGACCUGUAAAGCUAAAGUGAGAUUUAUCAGUUACCCUUUAAAAACUCACCAAGUUAUUCUCGCUUUCUCCCUACAAAUUUAUUCCCAAUACAAUCCUAAAUUUGUCUAAUUUGCUGUGUUAUUGCAAUUAGUCAAUCUUCCCUUAGUUACACAAAUAAUAGCCUUAUAAGUUGGAGGCUGUAAAUCAUUCAUCCAUUAAAAAUGCCACUUCCUCGUACGGCGCAUUCGAUUCAUUUAGAAGAGAAAAAACCGUGGCAUGGAACAGAAUUAUGCAAUGUCAUGGACACAUUAACAUUUGGAUCAAAAUUGUACAUUGUGUCAGCCAGUAAACAGUAUAAAUGGUUCAGAUUUGCAAUAAAUAAUUGUCUAUUAAUACUCUGGCA